UUGGUAAUAGUAUAUAUACGGAUUGGCUAGUUUCAUAUAACUUGGAUCAUUUUAUGAUAAUUCAGAUAUUGGGGUUUAGAAACAAAGAGGAACUAAGAAUUUUCGUGCAAGUGUCUUGCCAAAGAGGCGAGAAGAAGUGGUAUCUUCCAUUUCCAAAUAGAUCAAGUAGGAUUGGAAAAAAAAAAGGUAGGAUUGGAACGAAUUUUUUUUUAAACGACUUAAUUUUUACCAAACAAAUGAGUGCUGACAAAAAAAAAAAAUUAAAAAACCAUUAAUGGAUCGAAAAUGCUAAAUAGUUUUCAUGGACAUGAUAUGGUAUACACAAUGAACAAUGAAUCUGUGUAAUAUAUUUGGUUAAUCUAAAGCG
rnacentral:lncRNA from 1 species